GAGGUCAGAAUAAAGAAGCCUUGAGGGUUUAAAUCGCUUCUUGAAAAGAAAUGCCCGUGUGUCAAGGAGCUAAGGGAGACCAGCCCAGGAGGAGCUGAAUCCUGCCAACAAUCACUUGAGUGAACUUGAGAGUGAAUCCUCUCCAUGUUAAGCCUUGAGUGAAAGCGGAAUACCUGGUUAUCCGGAGGUCACUGUCUCCACACAGAGUGGUGUCCUUGAUGCUAGCUUGGGGCAAAGAAGCCAGGCAAUCAAGGCUUUAAAUGCGUGGAUUUAUCAUCACCUCAAAUCGCCUGUCACUGUGAUGGAACAAAAAUAGAAAGUUGGGCUAAUAUCUUCCUGCUAGCAUGUUUCCAUCUGUGAGUUUGAUCAAAGCAACUUUAUCUGCGAAAUUUUGAAGAAUCAGCUUCAUCUCCACUUGGCAGCAUGUGGUAAAUGAAGGUAUUUCUGGAAAUCCCAUCUUCCCAGAAUUCAGCUAGGAUCCAGAAGUGAUGCUG
ensembl:lncRNA SLC14A2-AS1 SLC14A2 antisense RNA 1